CGAUAGUAGAGGGGCAUUAUGUUUUCUGGUCUGUGCGUCCGUCCGUUCGUUCGUUCGUCCGUUCGUCCGUUCGUCCGUCUGUCCCGCUUCAGGUUAAAGUUUUUGGUCGAGGUAGUUUUUGAUGAAGUUGAAGUCCAAUCGACUUCAAACUUGGUACACAUGUUCCCUAUGAUAUGAUCUUUAUAAUUUUAAUGCCAAAUUAGAGAUUUUACCCCAAUUUCACGGUCCACUGAACAUAGAAAAUGAUAGUGCGAGUGGGGCAUUCGUGUACUGAGGACACAUUCUUGUUCCU
rnacentral:lncRNA from 1 species